UACGUAGGGUGCGAGCGUUGUCCGGAAUUAUUGGGCGUAAAGAGCUCGUAGGCGGUCUGUCGCGUCGGUCGUGAAAACUUGGGGCUUAACCCUGAGCUUGCGGUCGAUACGGGCAUGACUGGAGUUCGGCAGGGGAGACUGGAAUUCCUGGUGUAGCGGUGAAAUGCGCAGAUAUCAGGAGGAACACCGGUGGCGAAGGCGGCUAUCUGGACCGACAUUGACGCUGAGGCGCGAAAGCGUGGGGAGCAAACAGG
rnacentral:rRNA from 1 species